rnacentral:lncRNA from 1 species
AAAUAUGUUAAACCUUCGCUGAAAACAAAUAUUUGCCAAUAUUUUCAAGAACAUUUGUUUUAUCACAAACGCGCUUGGCCAAACAGGUUGUGAAUGCUUGUACGUUCUAUUGAUUUGUUAUUCUGCAUUACAUUGGCAGGUUAUACCUAUGUAUUAUUUACAUCUCUUACCGUUCUACUCAAUUCACAGAGGGUUCUUCCGUGUAAUGUGUGUCUUUCAGUGACCUAACCUCCAAUUUACAUCAAAGGUCUGACCAUCUGAAUUCAUGUGACCUUUUCCUUGACUGCUAGAUCAUACAAUGGUAAGUUUUGACUCUUGGCAGCGCACUUAUGAAGCAAGUUGAUAGAUUAUUGAUGUUUUGUUCUACACUUUGGGAAACAUUCAGUGUUUCUUUCAUUAUUAUUUGUAAUAGUUCUACUAAUCAGUUCUACUGUAUGUGCUUGUACAAAUUUUCUCUGUAAAAAGUGUAUUUAUGUGGUAUAGAUACUGUAUCAACGUGGUAUAAAAGUGUAUCAAUGCGGUAUCAAAGUAUAUUAAUGUAGUAUAAAAGUGUAUCAAUAUGGAAUAAAAGUGUAUCAAUUGAGUAUAGAGACUGCAUGCGACCGACGGACAAAUGACUAAAAAUCAGAAUUAAAUUGGGCCGACUAGCUCCAAUUGUCCAACUUUUAAAAUUGCUGGCAAGAGUGCUCGUUUGAAGUUGAUUCUUGUUUAAACUUAAUCCAAAACUAAAUCAGCAAAGAUACGUUCAACUUAAUUUUGUGCUAAAGGGUAUUGUAUAACUUUAGUACAUCAAAUGCAUUUUCAUACUAAAGGAUUAUUUCUGACACUUAUGAUGAAUGAGAAGCACAUGCUGGUCAUUACAUAUUGUUUCGAUUUAACAUUGAUAUAAAUUUAUUCCUAUCAGACACAAUAAGCUUAAAAUUCUUUUCCUAAAUAAAGCUUAAAAUUAUUUUCAUAAAUAAAUUCGUGUAGUUAAUCGUUUGUCAUAAAAAUAUAUAUACUACAACACUUUUGCGUUGUGUUGAAUGUGCACAAAAUUAUACUAGUAUAUAGCAUUGGUUCACUAGUUUGGCCUCAGAGAACUUAUUUGCACAAUCAUCAUGAGAAAGACCUAGAGGUAUUUUUUUACUUAAUUGUCUGCUGUUAUUAUAUUUUUGAAAGAAGUGUAAAUUCGGAAGCUGGUUAAAUAUUAUUUUUUUUUGUAUGAAAAAAUGUGGAGUUAGUUUAGUGGAAGUAAUAGAUGCAACAAGGUGCGAAAAUAAUGCAGGAAAGGUGUUUGUCGAAAUGCUUAAUUUGGAGUUGGUGUUGUUUUCUACGCUAUUUAUUGUAGUGGAUUAGGAAUUGUGUCAUUCUCUUUUCACAUAUUCUCGUAAUACGGGUUGGUGUAUAAUGAAGUAAGUUUGCUGUUUUCACUCUUUCUCGACUCCUAUAACAUUGAAAAUUCUAAAUUCUUUAGUCCUUUGGUUGAGCGUUAGCAAUAAUACAUUCAUGCUCUCCUUUUCUGUUUUCAACAUGCCAUCUUUCUAGUCACUAUAUGUGGUUAUCCAUGUUGCUUGGACGCUUCAAAAACUGUGAAUGGGUGCGUGUCGGAUUCUCCAAAAGCAGUGUAUUUUUGGAGAACCCUACACGGGUGCGGCAUCGAAAAUGAAGAGGCCGCACAACUUAGGUGGUUAUGGUAGAUUGACAUUAAAGGCACUCGUGCAUCCACUGCCUCUAAAUCUUGAUUCACCUCAGUAUUUUUUGUUGAUCCAUCUAAAGGUUAAAUUUUUGAUCAAAGUAAAUCAUCUUUGCCUGGAAAUAUAAUAGAUUCAUUAGUUUUGAUUUUCCUGUACCAGUGUAUUUUGAGCUUGAAUUUUGUUUUGUACGAUGAAAACCAACUUGUUUGAUGCAAUACCUGCUAGAAAAUCUUGUGAGUUUGGCAUUUCUUUAGCUAGUGACACGGUUGAAGAUAUUAGACCCUAAUGAAUUUUCUAUUGGAAUUACAGUUACUCAACUCAAAUAUUGGAUACUUCAAAUACAUAGGAUCUGCAAGAAGCAUUGUUAUUGUUACAACUUUAAUCAGUGAAAAGCUAAUGAUAUUAGCUAAAAUUUGAGGUACAUAUUUCUGGAAAGGGAUUGCAGCAUUUGAAGAGAAGUGUUGAACUAAUGGGUAGCAAGAUACAAAUCAAAUGGCCAAAAGAAGUCACAGCGGCUUUUGUUGAACAGCUGAUUCGAGCAGAAAAAGAUUAUAGUUAGGUGGAUGAAUUUUUUUAAUAUGCUCUACAAUAAGUUUAUAAUGCACAUGUACAAAACAAGUAUGUUGGUGAAAUUUGUGAUUCUUUUUGGGCACUCAAAUACUUUGGAGUAGUGAUAAUUUAUGUUUUCUCCAUGCUUCAUAAGUAUGCAACAUGAAAAUUUAUAGUAGUAGUUUAUGUGUGUUUUUCUUUUUUCUUUUACACUUUUCCUAUUAU